AUGUCUCAUGGAAAUGCCAACUCGUUAACUUCUCUCACUGGAAGAAAUGGAGAACUGCUGGAGUGUUCAAAAACAGAGACAAAUGGAGCCUCUGCAACAGACAGAGUGCUGCCAGUGAGAAUUGAUGGAGGUCCUGGCGUAAGAGGCCGAGAGCCAGUUAUAAAAAAGCUGGGUACCAGCAGCACUGCCUUCAUUGGACCUGUAUGCUGUCCUCCUAAGGCAGUCCAGAGAGCUCCCAAACCCCCAAAAGUAAGGAAACUUUCCAAACCUAACAUUGAAGAGACACUGAGUGAGUUCUACAAAGAGCUUGAGGAGAUUGAUCCAAAAGACUGCGUUGACAGUAGCACGGCCAAAAAUGAAGGCUCAGUUGAAUUACUCACCGCUCAGAACCCACCACCUGCAAGAGAAGGGUCAAACGCAAGCCAUGGCCAUAAGCAACCUAAUCACGUACCUUGCCCACACUGGUAUGACAACGAGCCAUACCAGCCCAGGAGACCGAUACCUAGGGGGCCCAGCUAUGGUCCCUACUCAGAUCAUAAUCACUGGCAACCUCCCCCACCUUUCCACAGUCAGCCAUACUACAGGUUCCACAGACCUCCCCACCGCUUCCUGCCACCACCUCCAAUCCCCUGCCUCCCGCCACCACCUCCCGCAGACCACCGGUAUCACCCCCAACGAGAGGGCUCCCAGCAGGUCCCACCUUUUCGCAGGUUCCCUGUCCCUGAUGGGUACAGGAACUCUCCAGACUUGGAUGGCCAUGGCUUUCCCCCACAGCACUCUAACAACAGAGACAGAGGGGGCUACGGUUGGAGAGAUGACAAGUAUGACCAGCAGGGUAAUGACCAGCCUUAUAACCAGCAAGGUUCUUCUGAAUGGCAGCAGAGGUUUGACAGAGGACCUGAGCCACCUCAGCCAGAGGAUCAGCACCAACCACCAGAAGAUAAAACAUAUGACUAUGAUCCUUCUCUGGUUCUCAUUCUGAUGAGGGGAGCCCCGGGAUCUGGGAAAUCAACACUGGCCAGGGAACUGCUGUCGACAGGCUCCAGUGGGCAGGUUCUGAGUACAGAUGACUACUUCUCCCAGGAAGAAGGCUACUGUUACGAUCCCAGUCUGCUGGGGGCCGCACACCACUGGAACCAGAACCGAGCCCAAGAAGCCAUGUAUAAAUGCUGUUCUCCUGUCAUUAUUGAUAACACAAAUAUGCAAGCAUGGGAAAUGAAGCCAUAUGUUAAACUGGCCUUGGAGAGAGGAUACAGUAUCAACUUUCAUGAGCCUCACACCAGCUGGAAAUUUGAUCCCGUCGAGUUAGAGAAAACUUGAACAAGCAGGCGUACGACCUGGCCAAAGCCCUGCUGAAAAGGACUGCUCAGGCCAUCGAGCCAUACAUAACUAACAGCAACGACGAGGCUACAUGUGGUGAAACUGCUGGCUGAAAUGUUUGGAGCCAAGGACUCUGAACUCGCAGCUCAAAAUAAACCUCUGUGGCAGUGUUAUCUCGGAAGAUGAACGUGGUAUCUUCAGGCGUUUGGAAAUUGAUCCGAAGAAUGAACCAGACUUGUGGAGGUCUACAAUUUUUUUUCUGAGGUCUUGGCUGAUUUCUUUUGAUUUUCCCAUGAUGUCAAUCAAAGAGGCACUGAGUUUGAAGUGGAGGGUGCGAAAAGAGGCCAUGAGGGAGGAGAGGGAGUCUCCAAACAGAUCUCCUGGAUCAAGGACAAACUGCUCCACAUCUAUUACCAGAACAGCAUCGAUGACAGGUUGUUGGUGGAGCGUAUCUUUGCCCAGUACAUGCUUCCUCACAACUUGGACACCAUGGAAAGGAUGAAGUGUUUGUAUUACCUCUACGCCACGUUGGACGACAAUGCUGUGAAGAAGCCUGAUAUGUCCCGGCUGUGUCUGGCUGCGGGGUGUGCUGUCCUGAAGCUGGCUCAGGAGCCCUGCUACCAUGAUAUCAUCACCUUUGAGCAAUACCAGCUCUGUGCUCUGGUCAUCAACGUAAGCACACAUACACAGAGGAUUCCUGCUACCAUGAGAUCAUCACCCUGGAGCAGUACCAGCUGACGAGUGUUAUCAGGUGCGGCAAGGCCUUUGCCCAUAAGCUCCACGUCGUCUGCCCCUGGAGUACCUGGCUGUGUUCACUCUGCGGCGGGCGCAUGCACGUCAGUGUCUGGUCAAAAACAUCAACCUCAGGAGGGAGUACCUGAAACAGCAUUCUGCCAUCAGUGGGCUUUUGUACAGCUGCAUGGGACCGUAUUGGACACUAUUGACAUUACCAUAUCUCCAUAAAUAAUUGCCCAAAGCGGCCAACGUGCUCGGGGCAGUCAACAAGCCGCUGGCCUCGGCCGGGAAGCAAACCAAGCUGAUCCGCAUGGAGACGGUCAGCAACACCAGCAGCAACUCCAACCCUGGCUCCCCUGGAGGCAGCAAAGGGAGUGCCGAGGUGGACCACAGUGAGAACGAGGAUAUCACGGUCAUGAAGAGUCUGGCUGCUCAGGACGACGACAGCAAGCCCGGCCGGGGUUGCAAACGAGGGGCAGCCACUGCCAGCCAGGACAAUAAGGCAAGCCAGGACGACAAGGCCGAGACCAAUGCCGCAGACACCACCCUGGAGACGAAAGACGAGCAGAACAAUCCUCCCAAAAGAGGUCGCAGGAGACGGCCCCCCCAAGGCUGCUGCGCCUAAUAAUGACACACCAAGGGCAUGAGGGGCCAGAAGAAGGCUGCUUGUCAAGCUGAGGAGGAAGAGGAGCAGGGAGAGGAGGAAGAUGGAGAAGUGAGAACAUGGAAGUGAAGCCCACGGUGCAGAGAGGAGGCAGGGCACCACGGAGGUCACAGCAGAGAGGCCUCAGAGGCCACAGACGACUCUGCAGAAUCCACGCCACAGAAAAGAUGGGGGAGACCUCCCAAAGCACGGCAACAUCCAGCCAAGAAAAAUCUGUGCACAGGGCGUUUGAGUAAAGAGAACGAGUCGGAGGUGGAGGAAAUGUCUCAGAGCCAGGAAGAGGAGGAGAGCAAGACCACACCCAAAGACAAUGACCCAACACACCUCCAGGCUGUGUAAGCGCUAUUUGACUAAGGAGAGUGAUGGAGUGCUACAUCAGAUUACCUGGCCUCCAGAGUGAAGGAAAAGCAGCCAACAAGUGCUCAGCGUAUGUGGGAACUCCUUCAAGACUGUUGGAAAAACAUUCCUUAUGAAGCUGGUUGAGAGAAUGUCAGGGUGUGCACAGCUGUCAUCGAGGUGCGACGGAAGACGGGCAGGAGAAGAUGAGACAGAGAUCGUGUUUUUUCUCCAAGGUUAAAGGAUGAGAACAGAUGGAGAGGAGCUGUACAUCGAUCUGCCUAGGCUGUGUGUAUCCGCCCUUAUGUUCAGUUGUUAAGCUUUGCCACACACACAUCCACCUUGGUUUGUCUAACAUUUUUAUGUGUGUCGCCGACCACGUGAACGAUCCAAACUGAUUCAACUAAUGUAUAUAGUCUCUCUUGCCUUUUUUCCCCCCUGUGCUGGGGAGGCAGUUGUAUAGCUUUUAUCUCCCAACUUUAAGAUAUCGCACCAGCUCUAACUGUCAAAGGGAAUGUUUGGAAUGAACUUUUAGUAGUACUGUAUCGGUCAUUUUUCAGUAUUUUUCAGGUGUUUUUUCAUUCUGUGACAAGGAAAAAACAGUGUUGUAGAUUUUAUUUGUGAAGUAAAAUUUUUUAAGUCGU